rnacentral:lncRNA from 1 species
UGAUGAUAUAUUAAAAAUGUUUGGAUUUGCUCAGCUUUAUUAAUUAUAAACAGUGAACACAUCUGAAAUAAAACAUAGUUUUAUAGUAAACUGAUUUGACAAGUUAUCAGCUUAGACUGAAACCACCACCCAACUCCAGUCCGGGUUUUCCAAGCGACACCUGCUAACUGAGAAAUUCAAUUAAGGACUCCUCUUCCCACUUGGAGCCGGUCUCCAGGGCAGAUCUUCCGGGCGACUCACCCUGUAAGAAAUUAGAAAAUGCUACAAUAAAACCCGAAAAACUGAAAAAAAUGUGGCAACUUUAUUAAUGAAAGCUCUCACGCUAUCCACCGUAAACAAACACGUCCCUUUAGUUGGAAGUCACCGAAAGACAGCGAAGUACCUCAGAUCAUUCAUGGAAAGCCAUCUUCUAUAUUAAAAAUGCCACUGCUAGUACAACACAAGACAUCAGAUGGCAGUAAAGGGAGCAUCGGGCACAGGCGGUAACUCCUCCGUGGAUCCAGCUUCGGCACAGAUUGUUCAACAGUAAGGUGAGUCUUAAACUUAUAUUCGUGUCUCAUCAACCAAUAUUUGCUGUAAUUUUGAUAACACAUGUAUUAAAUAGCU